rnacentral:misc_RNA from 1 species
UCCGGUUUGGCACCGGCAGUCUCCGAUGAGUCCCCGACAUAACUCGCUGGCAACAUCGGACAGGGGUUGCGCUCGUUGCGGAACUUAAUCCAACACCUCACGGCACGAGCUGACGACAACCAUGCACCACCUGUGCAGGGCCCCGAAGGACACCGUAUCUCUACGGCUUUUCCCUGCAUGUCAAGCCCAGGUAAGGUUCUUCGCGUUGCCUCGAAUUGAACCACAUGCUCCACCGCUUGUGCGGGCCCCCGUCAAUUCCUUUGAGUUUCAGCCUUGCGGCCGUACUCCCCAGGCGGGGCACUUAAUGCGUUAGCGCCGGCACCCAGGGGGUCGCUCCCCCAGGCACCUAGUGCCCAUCGUUUACGGCGUGGACUAC